rnacentral:rRNA from 1 species
AUACAAUGAAGAGUUUGAUCCUGGCUCAGGAUGAACGCUAGCUACAGGCUUAACACAUGCAAGUCGAGGGGCAGCAUGAUCGAAGCUUGCUUUGAUUGAUGGCGACCGGCGCACGGGUGAGUAACGCGUAUCCAACCUUCCCCAUAGUAGAGAAUAGCCCGGCGAAAGUCGGAUUAAUGCUCUAUGUUGUAUCAUGAGGACAUCUGAAUAAUACCAAAGGUUUACCGCUAUGGGAUGGGGAUGCGUCUGAUUAGGUUGUUGGCGGGGUAACGGCCCACCAAGCCCACGAUCAGUAGGGGUUCUGAGAGGAAGGUCCC